rnacentral:rRNA from 1 species
AUUGAACGCUGGCGGCAUGCCUUACACAUGCAAGUCGAACGGCAGCACGGGUGCUUGCACCUGGUGGCGAGUGGCGAACGGGUGAGUAAUACAUCGGGACGUACCUUAUCGUGGGGGAUAACGCAGCGAAAGCUGUGCUGAUACCGCAUACGCCCUGAGGGGGAAAGCGGGGGAUCGCAAGACCUCGCGCGAUUAGAGCGGCCGAUGCCUGAUUAGCUUGUUGGUGGGGUAAAAGCCCACCAAGGCGACGAUCAGUAGCUGGUCUGAGAGGACGAUCAGCCACACUGGGACUGAGACACGGCCCAGACUCCUACGGGAGGCAGCAGUGGGGAAUUUUGGACAAUGGGGGCAACCCUGAUCCAGCAAUGCCGCGUGAGUGAAGAAGGCCUUCGGGUUGUAAAGCUCUUUUGUCAGGGAAGAAACACCGGCUCUAACACAGUCCGGGAAUGACGGUACCUGAAGAAUAAGCACCGGCUAACUACGUGCCAGCAGCCGCCGCUG